UAGAAAGUGGUAUAGGGGAAGUGCAGAGGGUUUUGAUCUCUCAGGGGCAGGUUCGAGUCCUGUUUUUCUAA
rnacentral:tRNA from 1 species